CCCUUUGGGUCAAAAGUACAGAUACGCCAACAGCUUAAAAUAGAUAUCACAGCGGUGACAAAAUUGUUACCGCGGUGACAUUUUUGUCACUGCGGUAAUAAAUUUAUCACUGCGGUGAUAUAUUUGUAACUGUUGUGAUACUUUGUUUGACCCAAACAGUUUGAUAAGAGCUAAAUCGAACUAACCAAUGAAACAACGUCUUGCAAAACGGCAAAUCGGCGAAUAUUUACUGCGAAGUUUUCAAGAUGUCUGCCUCCAUGGAUACUGUAAACAACUUUUCAGAUCAUGAGUUUGGUAAUUUUAAUCUUCGGACACAAGGAUGACGACAAUUAAGAGUCCAUCAAUGGUUGUGAAAUCAAGGAUAUUCUAUUGGAAGGAAAGACAUGAAUGCAUUCAAGUUUCCUGUGAGCAAUAUGAUUUCCUGACUUUGCCUUACAGUAUAAAACAAGAGAGUUAAACACUUGAAACUUGAAAAGAUGUGGUCCUAGAACCUGAAAUGGCAACUCCAGCUCUCUACAAAAGCAUCAUCUGGAAUCCAACUAUGUACAAUCAAAAAAUUAAUGUGUGUCUUAAUUUUGUCUUUUUAGAGCCCUGACGGGUCUUAAGAUAUCAGAUGUUUUAAAAUUCAUUGUGUUUGUGCUGCAAGUUUUAUGAACUGGUUAUAAAGCUUAUGUAUGAAGAACCGUUUACUGCCUGGUUAGCUGCAGUAGAGCACUCAUAGGAAUUGGGAGAUCUGUGGAAUCCCUUUGUGGCUUGCAAAUUUCAACCUGUUUUCAAAAAUUGCUUAGUUGGUCAGUGUGUUAAUAUUUCAAUUUUCAGGUCUGGUAAAGAAAGUUAUUUAAAGGCAGUGUGCAAGGUUUUCCUUAAUAAUAGCAUGUACACAGGAAAAAAAAGCUUAAUAUUAGAUAUUUUGUUAUAAUCAGUUUGUGGUCCGUCCAUAGCUAAACAUGAACAUAGAUAUUUUUUACUUUUAUUAGUACUAUAUACAUAUUAUAAAUAAAAGGUUGUAUCUUGCAUCUUCUAAUCCUUAAAGUGGCAUGGUGGCCUAGUGUGUGUGUUGUUUAUCUAUGAAAUUUAUACAUGUAUACUAAUAUCUAGGCUACAUUAUGAUGUACUUCUCAAAGAACAGUAUGUUUAAAAUGCAGGUUUAUACUAAUUUAAAUACAGGUACAAAUUAAUCCUGUGUUGUAUAUAGCAGAAUGUCCCUUAUUUUCACUGUUAUCUUUUAAAACUGUUCAGGUACACUUCACCUGCAUAAAACUAGUUCAGAUAUAUAUGUCCCAUAGAGCAAAACAAUUGUCACUAAAUCAUUGUAUAAUCGUUAUUGGCAGUUCACUUCUGUAGUUUCUGAAAUGAAAAAUUGUUGUUACCUACCUUCACUCUUAAUUCAGUUUUAGUGGAAUGCUUAAUUUCAUUUUUUUUUUCUUUAUUAGUUGUAAGUAGUGGGCUCUGUGUUCUGAUUAGUUCCUAAAUUGAACACAUGUUUAAACGUCGGUUGUUAAAUUGUAUAACAUGUUAAUGCAGAAUUGUACCAUAACAUGAAAUUGUAUUUUUUGCUUUGUACAUUGUUUGAAAUGUUACCAUCUUGUUUCUAAUAAAUGUUUUUUAUAAUUCACCAUCUAGUCCUAUUUGCAAAAAAGUGAACCAUUUAAAUAUUGUAUUUAAAGUAUACACCCGUUAGCCUUACUUAAGUCGUGAACAUUUCGUAGGCAUUUGUUAUCCCCAGUAAUAGGCGGAGGGAUAUUGUUUUGGCGCUGUUUGUCCGUCCUUCCGUCCGUCCGGCACUUUUGUGUCCAGAGCCAUAUCUUGUUAGUGCUUUAGCGGAUUUCAUUGAAACUUGGUAUGAGUAUAUUAUAUGGAUAAGAGGAUGAUGUACACUUUGUAUCUUGAAAAAAAUGCUUUUUAAUAUAAUCUUAGAGCUUUAUCUUCACUAACACAUGAGCCAGAGCCAUGAAACUUGCCAUAGUUGUUCUCAAUCAUCUAGGGGUGCUUCACAUUCAACAUCCAUAAUUCUAGGGGCUAAGGUCAUGGCCCUUUGUAUCUUGAAAAAAAUGCUUUUUGAUAGAAGCUUAGAGCUUUAUCUUCAUUAACACAUGAGCCAGAGCCAUGCAACUUUCUAUAGUUAUUCCAAUCAUCUGGGGUUGUUUCACAUUCAACACCCAUAAUCCUAGGGGCUAAGGUCAAGGUCACACAUUGAGGUCAAAGGUCACAAAUUUGAGGAAUUAUUCAUUAAUUGGUAAUUCCUUUACUAUGCAUCAAGGAAUUCUGUUAUAACUGUCACAAUUGUUCUCAAUUAUCUAGCUGAGUUUCAAAUAUAAGAUCCAGGUUGCUAGGGUCAUGGUCAAAGUCACACACAAAGGUCAAAAUCACACAUUUUGAUCAUAUAUAUA